rnacentral:rRNA from 1 species
UGGGGAAUAUUGGACAAUGGGGGCAACCCUGAUCCAGCAAUGCCGCGUGUGUGAAGAAGGCCUGCGGGUUGUAAAGCACUUUCAGUAGGGAAGAAAAGCCUAGGGUUAAUACCCCUGAGUCUUGACGUCACCUACAGAAGAAGCACCGGCUAACUCCGUGCCAGCAGCCGCGGUAAUACGGUGGGUGCGAGCGUUAAUCGGAAUUACUGGGCGUAAAGCGCGCGUAGGCGGCUUGGUCAGUCGGAUGUGAAAGCCCCGGGCUUAACCUGGGAAUUCCAUUCGAUACGGCCAAGCUAGAGUAUGGGAGAGGGAAGGGGAAUUUCAGGUGUAGCGGUGAAAUGCGUAGAUAUCGGAAGGAACACCAGUGGCGAAGGCGACUUCCUGGCCCAAUACUGACGCUGAGGUGCGAAAGCGUGGGUAGCGAACAGGAUUAGAUACCCCCGUAGUCC